GACGAACGCUGGCGGCGUGCUUAACACAUGCAAGUCGAACGGUGAAGGGACCGGUUUUUGCUGGUUCUGGAUGAGUGGCGAACGGGUGAGUAACACGUGAGUAACCUGCCCCCUUCUUCUGGAUAACCGCAUGAAAGUGUGGCUAAUACGGGAUAUUCUGCGCCUGCUGCAUGGUGGGUGUGGGAAAGAUAUUGUUUCGGUGGGGGAUGGGCUCGCGGCCUAUCAGCUUGUUGGUGGGGUGAUGGCCUACCAAGGCGGUGACGGGUAGCUGGCCUGAGAGGGUGGACGGUCACACUGGGACUGAGACACGGCCCAGACUCCUACGGGAGGCAGCAGUGGGGAAUAUUGCACAAUGGGCGCAAGCCUGAUGCAGCGACGCCGCGUGAGGGAUGGAGGCCUUCGGGUUGUAAACCUCUUUCGCCAGUGAAGCAGGCCUGUCCCUUGUGUGGGUGGGUUGACGGUAGCUGGAUAAGAAGCGCCGGCUAACUACGUG
rnacentral:rRNA from 1 species